rnacentral:rRNA from 1 species
AAAUUGAAGAGUUUGAUCAUGGCUCAGAUUGAACGCUGGCGGCAGGCCUAACACAUGCAAGUCGAGCGGAAACGAGUUAUCAGAACCUUCGGGGAACGAUAACGGCGUCGAGCGGCGGACGGGUGAGUAAUGCCUAGGAAAUUGCCCUGAUGUGGGGGAUAACCAUUGGAAACGAUGGCUAAUACCGCAUGAUGCCUACGGGCCAAAGAGGGGGACCUUCGGGCCUCUCGCGUCAGGAUAUGCCUAGGUGGGAUUAGCUAGUUGGUGAGGUAAGGGCUCACCAAGGCGACGAUCCCUAGCUGGUCUGAGAGGAUGAUCAGCCACACUGGAACUGAGACACGGUCCAGACUCCUACGGGAGGCAGCAGUGGGGAAUAUUGCACAAUGGGCGCAAGCCUGAUGCAGCCAUGCCGCGUGUGUGAAGAAGGCCUUCGGGUUGUAAAGCACUUUCAGUCGUGAGGAAG